CACGUAGGGUGCGAGCGUUGUCCGGAAUUAUUGGGCGUAAAGAGCUCGUAGGCGGUUUGUCGCGUCUGCCGUGAAAGUCCGGGGCUCAACUCCGGAUCUGCGGUGGGUACGGGCAGACUAGAGUGAUGUAGGGGAGACUGGAAUUCCUGGUGUAGCGGUGAAUGCGCAGAUAUCAGGAGGAACACCGAUGGCGAAGGCAGGUCUCUGGGCAUUAACUGACGCUGAGGAGCGAAAGCAUGGGGAGCGAACAGG
rnacentral:rRNA from 1 species